GCCCGGGUAGUUCAGUGGCAGAACGCCAUCUUGGUAAGAUGGAAGUCGGGAGUUCGAUUCCCCCCCCGGGCU
rnacentral:tRNA from 1 species